GCCACGGUCAAUCCCGUGGCCGGGAUUGGCGUCCCGGAAUACGAAGACGCACAGCCGCGCUAUCAAAUUGCGGCUUUUUA
rnacentral:sRNA from 1 species